UAAAUAUUGAUCUCUACUCAUGGUGUUCAUCGUAUAAUUGAAUUCAUGUUUUGUUGAAAUUCUUCAGAUCAUCAGAUCACGCCGCCGCCUUCCAUGAUCCAGUUCUGAUGCUCACGUGCCCAAUGUAGGUGCUUUAGACGGGGGUCAGGGGUCAGCACGGGCGCUCGGACCGGUCCGCAGCUACACGGCAAGCUGUGAUGCUCCGUGUGUUCUGACUCCUGGCUGUCAGCCAGCAUGAGCUUUCUCAGCAGUUGUGCUACAGUAGCUCUUCUGUGUGAUCGGACCGGACGGGCUAACCUUCACGUCCCACACACAUCAGUGAUCCCUGUGUGCCCAUGACCCUGUCUCCGGGUCCCCACUUCUCCUUCUGGGAGCGCUUUUGUGUUAUGGAGGUGGUGAUGAUGGUGAUGAUGAUGGGGAUGAUGAUGGACGAGCCGACGCCAUGUCACUCUUACAGUAACUCACUGCUGAUGUGAGCAAGUGCAGAUUCAGCCUUUAAUUAGUUUCUCUCCCCAGCUUGCGGGCAGCAAUGAUUCUCACCCUGCCGUUUGUCACGCUAAUAUACGAUCGGCUACAUAUCGCAGAUAUUAGGAUCAUGAACGUGAUGCAUGGCAGGACGCGGAACAUCACUGCACGGCGGAGUGAAGUGACGGCUGACGAGCGGAGCGGAGAUACAGCCGCACUGGCGUAUCAUAAUCCAUACACGAUCGACACGCCCCAUUUUGUGAAGCUCAACAACCUUCUGCUGCACAUCACAGCUAUAUUCCUCGCUCUUACCCAUUGUUAUGAAUGACUACGGGAAUUUGGUCUGUGUGUUACCUCAUAUUUAUUCCCCUGUGAAACAGGAAGUCCUGGUUGAACAAUUUCCUGUUCCUAGUCACCCAG
ensembl:lncRNA